rnacentral:snoRNA from 1 species
AGGUUAUUUUAAAGGGGAUGGUGGGGCGCUGUGAAACCCAGAGCUCUUAAUACUAUUGACCAAAGACUGAAGUUUUCCACAAGAUGCUGUGGUCAUUCAAUUAUGCUAUGUUUUCCUGAGCAGAUAUAAAA